CCUACGGGUGGCAGCAGUGAGGAAUAUUGGUCAAUGGACGAGAGUCUGAACCAGCCAAGCAGCGUGAAGGAUGACUGCCCUAUGGGUUGUAAACUUCUUUUAUAUGGGAAUAAACUGUUCCACGUGUGGGUUUUUGUAUGUACCAUAUGAAUAAGGAUCGGCUAACUCCGUGCCAGCAGCCGCGGUAAUACGGAGGAUCCGAUCGUUAUCCGGAUUUAUUGGGUUUAAAGGGAGCGUAGGUGGAUUGUUAAGUCAGUUGUGAAAGUUCGCGGCUCAACCGUAAAAUUGCAGUUGAAACUGGCAGUCUUGAGUACAGUAGAGGUGGGCGGAAUUCGUGGUGUAGCGGUGAAAUGCUUAGAUAUCACGAAGAACUCCGAUUGCGAAGGCAGCUCACUGGACUGGAACUGACACUGAGGCUCGAAAGUGUGGGUAUCAAACAGGAUUAGAUACCCUUGUAGUC
rnacentral:rRNA from 1 species